rnacentral:rRNA from 1 species
GACGAACGCUGGCGGCGUGCCUAACACAUGCAAGUCGAGCGAUGAAAUUCGGGACGAUUCCUUCGGGAUGAAGACUGGAUGGAUUAGCGGCGAACGGGUGAGUAACACGUGAGCAAUCUGCCUUUCACAAAGGGAUAGCCUCGGGAAACUGGGAUUAAUACCAUAUGAGACUCCACUACCACCUGGUAGAGAAGUUAAAGUGAUUUAGCGGUGAAAGAUGAGCUCGCGUCCCAUUAGCUAGUUGGUGAGAUAAAAGCCCACCAAGGCGACGAUGGGUAGCCGGCCUGAGAGGGUGAACGGCCACAUUGGAACUGAGACACGGUCCAAACUCCUACGGGAGGCAGCAGUGGGGAAUAUUGCACAAUGGGGGAAACCCUGAUGCAGCGACGCCGCGUGAACGAUGAAGGCUUUCGAGUCGUAAAGUUCUGUCCUAUGGGAAGAUAAUGACGGUACCAUAGGAGGAAGCCCCGGCUAACUACGUGCCAGCCGCCGCAGUAACAC